ACCAACGGAAAAGAAAUGUCAGCAGGAGUCAUGUCGUUUCCAAAGUAUGCUUUGUUUUAUUUCCCUGACUCUGAUAUCGUGAAAGUGGACUGCACCGAUAUCAUUUUAGGAGAGCACAGACUAUCGGAGUACGUGGUCGGUUCACGCGAGCAACUUCUAAGCGAAGAGGGAUAUGUAGAGAUGCGCCUGCCAAGUCGCAGCAGACAUGGACAGACCAAGACACUGCCAGCAAAAAUUCUACUUCUUAGUGGUAAGCUGAUUCAUUUUAUCGAUUAGCUUAAAUAGCUUAAAGAUCAUUUUGGGUUUAGAAAGUAUUUUCCCACGCAAACAUCAUUUCAACGUGUGUUAGCUUUUAGGUCAAUGUUAGCACGUGGAUUACUUACACAAUACCAACUUGCAAGCAUUAGGACUAGUAAAUUUAGGCACCGAUUGUUGAUGCUUCCUCUAGAAAGUGUCUUUUUUUGUUUGAUAUAACCGCUAUAAAACGUUGUCCACUGUUUGCAUGAUAAAUACUGCUUGCUUAUUAAUCGGCCUUAAGCCUUGUUACAAUAAUAUAAUAUUUGAUUAGUAUAUUUAUUGUAGGGAAAAAGUAUUUAUUUAUUACAAAUAUUUUAAAGUAUUCAGAUUUGUAAAAAAAAAAUCCAUCACAAAUUUUUUUACCUCACAUAGUCAUACAAUAACAAAAUACAUCUGCAUUUGACUAUCAUGUCCUCUAAUGCAAUUACCACUUAAAGGUAAACAAUCCAUUUCAGCUUUUGUCAAGAUGUUUUGAAUGUACUUCAGAAACACACUAAACUAAAAACAAACUUCACACUUCCUGAAUCAAGGGUGAGACACCGACUAAAGGAAACACUAAACACUUUUGUGGUGACUUCUUAUUAUUUCUGGUUUAUUUCACUGAUUAUUGUUGUUAUUUCAUUAUUAAUGAGAUAAUUAAGUGAUGAUUGAUUACUUAACUCAACCUGACUUAGAGAGACACUCAGGGUGGGGAUGAACGUGGACUGGAGUGGUCUAUGGAACAAACCUUUUUGCUUGCUGGGUAUUAACAUAACAUUUCAUGUCAUCAACAUUUCAAAUCUAAACAUACUUAAGUGAGUACAACAUCACUAACUUAGUGUAGGUGUUUGUCGAGCCUCUUCUAACCUUGUGUCAAAUUUAACACACAGGCUUCAGUGGACAGUGACAACGAACAAGAUGGUGAUAAUGGAAGCAAGGAAUUUGAGAACAGUCUUUGCAGAACACACCUCCGCAGAACACCGUCAAGCUUGAUGGUGAUGUUGUCAAAGCUUUAAAAGAUUUAGCAACUCUAAUUUUUGGAAAAGAUAAACUAGCAAGAUGUACUCUUACUGGGAAAUCAGGAAACAUCAAAAGACCAAUUGGACCCUCACAAGGUCACAGUUCUUAUUGACACUGUGAUUAAACAGUUUCCGAACACAGCCAUGUCUGAGGUCCGAGCGCUCAUUCGCAGGAAAUGCAACAACGAGUCAAACUCAAAGAACGGUCGCUCUCCACUGGAAGGAUGAAGACAGUGACGUUUCAGAUGCCAGUUUGUUAGAAUAAAUUCAAUUUAUUGACUCCUGUGGUUCUUCAUUUGAUUCAGCUGUUUGCAGCUUGUAAAAAUGCACUUUGAUUUAUUUAAGUUUUUAUUUGUUCAUUUAUUUUAGUUUUAUUUAUCUAAGCCAAUUAAGUUUUAAGUUACAUAUCUGUAUGCAACUACAUUGUAUGUCAUUGUGGAGUUUACAUUUGCUGGUUUUUAAUGUAUGCUUGAUGUAAAAAUGACAUACAAGCACUUUGAAACUACAAAACUUUAGUGUAAUUUACAGUAUUUUUA